CCUACGGGCGGCAGCAGUGAGGAAUAUUGGUCAAUGGGCGGAAGCCUGAACCAGCCAAGUAGCGUGCAGGAUGACGGCCCUACGGGUUGUAAACUGCUUUUAUACGGGAAUAACGCGCCUUACGUGUAGGGCUUUGCAUGUACCGUAUGAAUAAGGACCGGCUAAUUCCGUGCCAGCAGCCGCGGUAAUACGGAAGGUUCGGGCGUUAUCCGGAUUUUUUGGGUUUAAAGGGAGCGUAGGGCGUAUGGCAAGCGUCCUGUGAAAGGUCCGGGCUCAACCCGGGCCUUGCAGCGCGAACUGGCGUGCUUGAGUCCGCGGAAAGCAGGCGGAAUGCGUCGUGUAGCGGUGAAAUGCUUAGAUAUGACGAAGAACCCCGAUUGCGAAGGCAGCUUGCUGCAGCGGAACUGACGCUGAUGCUCGAAAGCGCGGGUAUCGAACAGGAUUAGAUACCCCAGUAGUC
rnacentral:rRNA from 1 species